rnacentral:rRNA from 1 species
GAUGAACGCUGGCGGCGUGCCUAAUACAUGCAAGUCGAGCGAACAGAUAAGGAGCUUGCUCCUUUGACGUUAGCGGCGGACGGGUGAGUAACACGUGGGUAACCUACCUAUAAGACUGGGAUAACUUCGGGAAACCGGAGCUAAUACCGGAUAACAUUUGGAACCGCAUGGUUCUAAAGUGAAAGAUGGUUUUGCUAUCACUUAUAGAUGGACCCGCGCCGUAUUAGCUAGUUGGUAAGGUAACGGCUUACCAAGGCGACGAUACGUAGCCGACCUGAGAGGGUGAUCGGCCACACUGGAACUGAGACACGGUCCAGACUCCUACGGGAGGCAGCAGUAGGGAAUCUUCCGCAAUGGGCGAAAGCCUGACGGAGCAACGCCGCGUGAGUGAUGAAGGGUUUCGGCUCGUAAAACUCUGUUAUUAGGGAGGAACAAAUGUGUAAGUAACUGUGCACGUCUUGACGGUACCUAAUCAGAAAGCCACGGCUAACUACGUG